rnacentral:misc_RNA from 1 species
UCAUACAAUGGAGGUACAAGGGCUGUUGCUAACCUUUCAAAGGUUGUGCACGCCCAAGUACUCUCUCACACACAUCCAUUUCACCCCUAUGUGCAUCACCGACGUGGGGAUCCCUUGAAAGGGGGAGGCCCACGUUUUUCUUUUCACACAAACCUCAAAGUAGUGUAGAAUGUACUUUCUUUAUUUUGCGGUGAUACGCAAAUCAAUA